UACGAAGGGUGCAAGCGUUAAUCGGAAUUACUGGGCGUAAAGCGCACGUAGGCGGUUUUUUAAGUCAGAUGUGAAAUCCCCGGGCUCAACCUGGGAACUGCAUUUGUGACUGCAAGGCUAGAGUACGGCAGAGGGGGAUGGAAUUCCGCGUGUAGCAGUGAAAUGCGUAGAUAUGCGGAGGAACACCGAUGGCGAAGGCAAUCCCCUGGACCUGUACUGACGCUCAUGCACGAAAGCGUGGGGAGCAAACAGG
rnacentral:rRNA from 1 species